rnacentral:rRNA from 1 species
UUGUAAGCAGAAUUACACAUGCGAGUAUCCCCAAGCCAGUGAGGAUGCCCUUCAAAUCGAUUCCGACGAAAAGGAGCGGGUAUCAAGUUCACAUAAAAGUGGCUCAUAACACCUCGUAAAACCACGCCCCCACGGGUAACAGCAGUGAUAAAAAUUAAGCUAUGAACGAAAGUUCGACUUAGUCAUGCAAUACAAUUAGGGUUGGUAAAUCUCGUGCCAGCCACCGCGGUCAUACGAUUAACCCAAAUUAAUAAACGAUCGGCGUAAAGAAUGUUUAAGGUUGUAAACAAAACUAAGAUUAAAUCUUGUCUAUGUCGUAAAAAAUUAUAGAUAAGCCAAAACCCAAUAAACGCAAGUAAUCUUAUAAUAUCUGAACACAUGACAGCUUGGGUACAAAGCUAAGCCGUAAACGCAAAACAUUAAAUAUAACAAAAAGUUUCGCCAGAGAACUACUAGCCACGGCUAAAAACUCAAAGGACUUGGCGGUGCUUUACACCCACCUAGAGGAGCCUGUUCUGUAAUCGAUAAACCCCGAUAAACCUCACCACUUUUUGCUAAUACAGCCUAUAUACCGCCAUCUUCAGCAAACCUUAACAAAGUAAAAAAGUGAGCAUAAUCACAAACAUAAAAACGUUAGGUCAAGGUGUAGCCAAUAAAGUGGGAAGUAAUGGGCUACAUUUUCUUGACAAAGAACAUUUAAACGAAAGCUAUUAUGAAAUUUAAUAGCACAAGGAGGAUUUAGUAGUAAAUUAAGAAUAGAGAGCUUAAUU